GGGUAGCUCAGUUGGCAGAGCGGUGGACUGUAGAUCCAUAGGUCGCUGGUUCGAAUCCGGCUCGACGGAAACU
rnacentral:tRNA from 1 species